GUGCCAGCCGCCGCGGUAAUACGAAGGGACCUAGCGUAGUUCGGAAUUACUGGGCUUAAAGAGCUCGUAGGUGAUUAAGAAAGUUGGUGGUGAAAUCCCAAGGCUUAACCUUGGAACUGCCACCAAAACNUUUUGACUAGAGUAUGAUAGAGGUAAGUGGAAUUUCUAGUGUAGAGGUGAAAUUCGUAGAUAUUAGAAAGAACACCAAUUGCGAAGGCAACUUUCUGGAUCAUUACUGACACUGAGGAGCGAAAGCAUGGGUAGCGAAGAGGAUUAGAUACCCUCGUAGUCCAUGCUGUAAACGAUGUGUGCUAGACGUUGGGAACUUAGUUUUCAGUGUCGCAGCGAAAGCGUUAAGCACACCGCCUGGGGAGUACGACCGCAAGGUUAAAACUCAAAUGAAUUGACGGGGACCCGCACAAGCAGUGGAGCAUGUGGUUUAAUUCGAAGAUACGCGCAGAACCUUACCAACACUUGACAUGUUCGUCGCGACUCGUAGAGAUAUGAGUCUUCGGUUCGGCCGGACGAAACACAGGUGCUGCAUGGCUGUCGUCAGCUCGUGUCGUGAGAUGUUGGGUUAAGUCCCGCAACGAGCGCAACCCUUACUUUUAGUUGCCACCAUUUAGUUGAGCACUCUAAAAGAACUGCCAGUGAUAAGCUGGAGGAAGGUGGGGAUGACGUCAAGUCCUCAUGGCCCUUACGUGUUGGGCUACACACGUGCUACAAUGGCACUUACAAUGAGAUGCGAAGAGGCGACUCCUAGCCAAUCUCAAAAAUGUGCCUCAGUUCGGAUUGUACUCUGCAACUCGAGUACAUGAAGCUGGAAUUGCUAGUAAUCGCGGAUCAGCGCGCCGCGGUGAAUACGUUCCCGGGUCUUGCACACACCGCCCGUC
rnacentral:rRNA from 1 species